ensembl:lincRNA
CAAAGUGUAAAGUCUCAUUUCCUUCCAGGAGCAGCUCAGGGCAGCACUAUCGGAGCUGCACAGGAAACUCAAUACUUCAGAAAAUGUUAAGGAAACAAGCAAGGAGACAGCACAGCACAUUAAGGUAAUAUUGUAGAAAACAACAAAGUUAUCAGUUUUGAACGUCUUAAAAUGCACCAAACUCAACUAUAAUUUUUCCAACAGUGAUGCCACAGUGAAAUACGUCUUGCAUUUUUUCCAUUUCAGACUCAGGCCCAGCAAACUGAAAGACUGAUAAAGAAGGAAUUUGAGCAACUUCACCAGUUUCUGCGAGAAGAGGAGACAGCAGGAUAGCUGCACUGAGGGAGGAAGAGGGGCAGAAGAGCCAGAUGAUGAAGGAGAAGAUUGAGAGUCUCAAGAGAGAGAUCUCAUCCCUGUCAGACACAAUCAGAGCCAUAGAACGGGAGAUGGGAGCGGAAGACAUUUCAUUCCUGCAGAACUAGAAGAACACAAAGAGCAGGUAUGUGUCCAGUCUGUCUUCCUCUUUUCUAUUGUACUGAGUCCUAACCCACAGCAGUUUAAACCAACAGCAGCACUGACUCCUGAAUAUUAUUGCAGAGCUCAGUGCGCACUGCAGGAUCCAGAGGAGGUUUCAGGAACACUGAUCGAUGUUGCCAUGCACCUGGGCUCUCUGAAGUACAGAGUCUGGGAGGAGAUGCUGAGGAUUGUUCAGUACAGUGAGUACUUGGGUGCAGGAUCACAAGAGGGAGGGCGAUUUACAGGUUUUCACAGUACAGGAGGAACAUUGAGAAUUGUGGAAUCAGAUAAAUGCAGUGAGAGUGUGACUGUCUGUGCAAAAGCCCUGGAGUGAAGUGACUGAUCUCCUUCAGUUUGCUCUACAAAGGUGUCACUACAUGGCCAGUUUGCCGUCAAUGACGCUUUAAUGGGAUCCUGGCUCCAUCACAAUAGGCCACAGUAUCAGGCUAAAAAUAAAAUACAAAUUUAUAGAAUACCAACUGUCUAAAUCACAUAGUGGUCACCAUAACAGAUCCCCCUUGAGUGGUAGCUGAGUGCAGGGAAAUCUGUUGCAUUAACCCCCGUGCGACCUGUAAUACUAUGAAGGCAUUAUCCAGAAAGAUAUUGUUAAACAUUCUUUUCAAGCAAUCUACAAUCCCUUCCCAGAUUGCUGCUAGAAGCAGCACCCUUCCAAGGUUCUGAUCUUUCAUUCUCUCAGGAAAGUUUCUCAGUGCCUCCCUGACAGUGAGGGUCCAAACCAAAUCUGACCUGACUAGGACUGCUCACUCACCAGAACCUUAAAUAGAGAAUACUAAGUUCACACACAGCUGACACCAAUUUCCUGCUAUCCUUGUGCAUACUUGAUCAUUAUACUAUAUGCUCUACCCCUGUAUCCCUCUGGAGGCUCUUAUUUAACACUUCAGAUCCAGCUGGCCUGUUACAGUGACGUGUGCCUGGAAAAUGGCUUAGGAUAAAAAUAAAUUACCAUUGCAAUAAUUUUACUUGCAAAUGCUUAACCUUUUGCUAUAUGAUGCUAUCAUAUAUAAGUUACAUUGCUAUCAGAUUAUACUGUAUAGUCAGUUCUGUUGCAUUUUAAAAUUUCUUAUCCGUAAAUGUUUAUAAAACUAUGCUUUUACGGGAAGAGGUUCACAGAAUCUUAUACUUGUUAGUGGUUUGCUCCCAGUUCAAGUACAUGUUCUAACUCAAAUGGGCUGAAUUGACAUCUCUUAUUUGUGGCUUUUCUGACGUUCAGAUGAAAGUUUAUCACUAAUGACAAUAUUACCAAUAUUAGCCAUAUCACCCUGCAACUCACAGCUGGCAACCCACUGAAGCUAAGCAGGUGUGAGCCUGGUCAGUACCUGGAUGGGAGACCUCCUGGGAAAAACUAAGGUUGCUACUAGAAGAGGUGUUAGUGGGGCCAGCAGGGGGCACUCACCCUGCAGCCCAUGUGGGUCCUAAUGCCCCAGUAUAGUGACGGGGACACUAUACUGUAAACAGGCGCCGUCCUUCGGAGGAGACGUAAAACCAAGGUCUGUGGUUAUUAAAAAUCCCAGGGUGUUUCUCGAAAAGAGUAGGGGUGUACCCUGGCGUCCUGGCCAAAUUUCCCAUCACUCUUUAUCAAUCAUGGCCUCCUAAUAAUCCCCAUCUAUGAAUUGGCUUCAUUCCUCUGCUCUCCUACCCACUGAUAGCUGAUGUGUGGUGAGCGUUCUGGUGCACUUUGGCUGUCGUUGAAUCAUCCAGGUGGAUGCUGCACAUUGGUGGUGGUGGAGGGGAGUCCCCAUUACCUGUAAAGUGUCUAGAAAAGCGCUAUAUAAGUGUAAGCAAUUAUUAUCAUUAUUAUUCUCUCAAGAAUUUUAGAUAGAAAUGGUACAUUUGAGACAGGUCUGUAGUUGUUAAGAACUUGUGGAUCCAAAUUUGAUUUCUUAAGCAGUGGUCUAACAACCGCUACCUUAAAUUGGUCAGGUACCAACGCCUGAUGCAAAGGAUGUGUUCAUCAUGUUAAUUAUUGGUUCCACCAGUACUUCUAGGGAAUCUUUAACUAGUUGGGUGGGGAUGGGAUCUAGCGGCCAAGUUGUUGAUUUUAAUAAUUUAUUUCAGUAGUUCUUUUUCAUUAACUAAUUGAAAAACACUGAAAAGGUACAAGUAAUAGGUUUAUUCCAUGCUGAAAAAAGAAGAAAGGAACACGUUUCGGCUGUGGAGCCUUCUUCAGGUGUUCCUUUGCAGCCUACGCAUGCUGACGCAGCUACCCACCUGAACUACUACUGAAAAGGUACGCACAUUGUUUAUGUACCAGACUUCUUUGC